UGCUAGAUAGGCGAAAUGAAGAAACUUCCUGUGUGGCGGUCGUUCUAUUUUAUGGCACAGGCCAGAGUGCUGUGGGUUAACAUUCUGAAAUUGUAUUUCUUCAAAUGUUUGUUCAACACUUGGAGGUCCAAGAUGGGGCGGAGAGAGCCAUCCUUCUUUGGGACCAGGAAAUAACGGGAAUAAAACCCUUGAUUUAUCAGGCUGGGAGGCACCACCUGAAUCGCUCCCUUCAUUAAGAGAGAAGAGAUUUCUUCUUUCAGAAUGUGAGCAGAGCUCUCCUCCGUGUGAAUUAAUAAUUGUUCGCAUCACCCACUCCAGAAUCCUCGCAUACGUUGGCUCUUUUGCGAUGCAAUGGCGGACAGACUAGGGGCGACAUGCGUGGAUUUAGAAAGAGGUUUUCUCUCUGCAGAGAAACGUACUCUCCCUGAGACUAAUUCAUUAGAUUUGUUUGUUUCAUUGUGUUUUUUGUGUGUUUUGUGUUGGGGAACACCGGGGCCGAAGCCUUUAUUAGUUGGGUGAGGGGAACGAUGUGUGUGCUGUGUGGUGACACUGCUUGAGCACACUUCCUCGCAACCAACCCCCUGAACGUGGGGGGAAAGAACACAGCGUCCACUGAAGUGCCCGCAAGCUUGGACAGCCUGAUGAGCAUUGCGGAGGAUGAGGUCGUUGACCGUAAGGAUCUCCUUCCACAACGUUGGCGAGGGGGAUCCUUUGUCCUACUGCUGCCCCAAAUCCUCCAAAAUGUCCACCUGGUAAGCGGAAAGCAGGGACAAAACAUUAAGAACCCUGACAGCCAAGGUCGAGGAUUUAUAAGUGGCUUGAUGAACGGAGGCAGAAAAAUGGUCCAUUUUGCCAGGCAAGAUCGGCUUCGGGGGGACGAGCAGCCCGCCCUGGACAGGGUUGAGAUGCCUGGCGAUCCAUGUCUUUCGCCUCCAGACCCGCGAGACCAUGUUUGAGGUUCAGCGGGUCGCUCCAGUAGUGCCUCACGUACUUCGCGCAAGCUGGAGCUGGAGUUGUUUCCUCGAGCCGGGAGGGGGUCCCAGCACUUUCUGAAAGAGAACAUGGAAACUGUAAAGCCACGGGAUUAUCAGAGGAAAUAUUUACAGUUAGAAAACGAGAAAUUAAUAUGCUUAAUAAUUAAUCAUGCUUUUAUUCAAAUAUGUCUAUGUUGGUAAACUUCUAUAAAAGACACACCCCUUUUCAAUUUUUAUUAAUUUCUCAUUUUAUAACUGUAAAUAUUUCCUCUGAUAAUCCCGUGGCUUUACAGUUUCCAUGUUUCACGGUCUCAACUGUUAUCUUUCCCUAUAUGUCCUCCACUGUCCUGUAUUUAAUGAACUCGGGGAAGCCAACCAACCCGGUGACGUCACCGUCAAGUGGUACUGCAAGAUGGCGGCCCCCUUGCUACAAAACCUAUAAAAGGCAUCCUUUUUUCUUUUAAAAGAUGACAGAGCUACAUCAGUGUUGAUCGGGAUAGCCGUAGCGUUCUCCAUUUUAGGGCUGUUCCUACUGAUCUGUUUGGUGCAGAUCUGUUGCAAAAAACUUGAUUGCUGCAAAAAACUUAAACUAAAAAACCCUUCGAUAAAAGACAAAAUUUUGAAGAAAGUGAAUGUGAAGAAACCUCCAUUCUCAAUUAGCAGCAUCGUUGACAAGAAAUAACGGCAAGCACUCUGUGCAGCCGUUGCGUCAAUCAUUCCUCCAUUACUGUAAAUAGUGUAAAUACAACCUGAAAGCCCAUUUAAUCUUUCUUUAGAACACUUCUAACUCUAUUUCUGUUCGUGCUAACGUGAAAGCACCUGUCAGUUUACUUAUUUUCUUUAUUUAACUUCUCUGAAAUGUGUGAAUCACACCGAAAGGUAAAAGUGAGAAUUGCAGAGACGUGGUAUGAUUCAUAACCGUGCUGAGCUAUAGAUCACUUUCUCACAGUCUGGGAAGAGCAGCACACACUGCUAUGGUUACCGAGAUGGCUUCUCUUGUUUUCUGAAAGGUACUUUUAUCCUGUUUUUCACUGUUUUCAAAUUCACCGCAGAUGUACAGAAAAGACAUUUUCUCAAGCCUGUUUCUCAUAAAAGAACUUUAAAGGUCAUCAGACAUCGAUGAAAAGAAAUCUAAAUACACUGUGGUUCCAGAGCACAUAAUCUCCAUGGUGAUUUCUUAUUGGUCAGAUAUGAGGAAGUGUUUACAAGUGAUCAAUUUCCUGUUAAGUGACUGAAAUGAAACCACGAUUUCAGAUCAAAAGGUGUCAAGUACAUGUAAAUGGACUCACAAUUACACAACUUUGGUCUGUUAUUGUGUAGUAUAAGUGUGGAGGGAGUGUGUUGUGUUUACAGUAAAUUACCUAUGCAAUAUAUAUAUUUUCAAGUUGGAAUACAACAUAAAAAGUUUAAAAAAUAUAUUUAAUUUGGCCAUUCUCUCAAGUAGUUGCUAUGAAUGCUACACUGUAAAAACGUUUUAAAGAAUUUUUCAUGUAUAAUGUAAAAAACUGUAAUUUUAUGUAAUUUUACUAUUUGUUUUACAGAUUUUACAUGUAUUUUUAAAUACAGUAAAAAAACAUCGAAAAUGUACAUGAAAUAUGGGAAAACAUAAUAAUAAAAAAUGUUAUUUUACAGUUUAUUUCUGGCGCCCGAGCUGUCAGAAAUGUGUUGAUUUUUACAGCGUUUUUUUUUUUACUGUUUAUUUAUGAAAAUACGGUAAAAAAAUGUAAAAUUACAGAAAAGACUGCAAAUUUACAAGAAAAACCGGGAAAACAUGAAAUCUUACAGGAAAACUGUUAUUUCACAGUUUAUUUCUAGAACCCCAGCUGCCAAAAAUCCUAUUUUUAGCUCUUUUUUACAGUGUUGGUUGUUCUUCCAGCCACCAUACCUUAAAAAGCAAUUAUUUUGCAAAAUGCAUAUCUUUGUCUACAAAACUGAUGUAACCACAAUUUAAGGUCAAAAGAUUUUUUAGAUCAAGGAGAAGUGUCUGAACUAUUGACUGGUUGUGUA